rnacentral:rRNA from 1 species
CCUACGGGAGGCAGCAGCUAAGAAUCUUUCGCAAUGGGGGGAACCCUGACGGAGCGACACUGCGUGAGGGAUGAAGGCCUUCGGGUUGUAAACCUCUUUUGUUGGGGGCGAAUAACCGAAUGGGAUGACAGUACCCAACGAAUAAGUCCCGGCUAACUACGUGCCAGCAGCCGCGGUAAUACGUAGGGGGCGAAUGUUACUCGGAAUUACUGGGCGUAAAGGGCCUGUAGGCGGUCAUACAAGUUAGCUGUAAAAGCCCUAUGCUCAACGUAGGGGGAGCAGCUAAUACUGUAUAGCUAGAGUACAGCAAGGGAUGGUGAAAUUCCCGGUGUAGGGGUAAAAUCUGUAGAGAUCGGGAGGAAUACCGAUGGCGAAGGCGACCAUCUAGGCUGAUACUGACGCUGAGGGGCGAAAGCCAGGGGAGCAAACGGGAUUAGAUACCCCGGUAGU